rfam:Bombyx mori DNA, contig: Bm_scaf55_contig27553, strain: p50T/Dazao, build 2, whole genome shotgun sequence.
GCACAGAUAGUCAAGCAAAUGCUUUAUUUGUAUGUUUCCUACAUACAAACAAAGCAUUUGUUUGACCAUCUGUGA